UAUUAUAUAGUAAUAAAAUAUUACUUAAAUGCAAUUAUUAAAAUAUUAAGAAAAAAUUUGAAUAACUUUUGCAGUAUUAUUAGACAUUAAACAAUUGCCUUAUGACAUAUGAUCUUUUAAUUUUUGUAUUGCGCAUGGUCCUGAGACGAAGUGUCCAAUGGCGCGUUGCUAACGCGCGAGCGAUGGGAGGGGAGCAAUAAGCUGACAGCACUCUGAUAUAUUUGCUGACUGUGAAUAGCUUAAAAACAUUUUUUCCUUGAUAUUUGUGGCGAAUAGCACAUGAUGAAGUGAUAGUCUGUUGAAGUAUAAACGAGUAUUUUCAAACGGAUUGUAAGAAAUAAGGAAAUAAAGGUGGGUCUACAACGCAAUCUCAAAGAUCACAACAACUCUUCUUGCCACAAAACAACAGUAACAACAGUAAAAACACAAAGAGUAGUAAAAUGUCUUUUGCAUUGCAGAUGUUUUAUGUCGUAUUUUUCAUAUUUGGAUUGGUUUUGGGCACUAAAAUAUAUGAAAUGGAUGAAUUUUCAACAGAUUUCUUAUUUGGACUUAUUGUCGGCCUAUUUUUGGGAAUAAUAAUAUAUAAAUUUAUAAAGAAUGUGUUACAAAAUUGCUCUCGAUGGUUACUAAAUUGCUCUCGACGGUUACGAAAUUGCUUACAAUGACACUAUGAUUGAAUAAUUGAUGAUCAUUAUUUUACUAAUUUUGUAUUCAAAGUUUUUUUGUAACUUAUUAUGUAAUGGAUCAUUAAUUAUAAAGAAAUUAUAAAAUAAUCAAGUUAUUUCAAAUCAUUUCACUAUAUUGCCGUAUAUACUCCACAUUAUAAUCCGGUUAUCUUGUCAUUUCUUCUAAGAAUUAUAAGAAUGUUUAUUUUCUAAGCAGGAUUAUUUUAAAAUAAAUUGCACCUAGUCUUCUCAUAGAACUGUAAAUCUACUAUCGUAACGCAUCGUAAUACUAAUUGCUAAAUCUAAAGGAAUAUAAUUGAAGAGCUUGCUAUAACAGUAAGCUAAAAAAUUUUUUAUAAAAAAAACGGAAGAAAGAAAUUCUAAAGACACAUUCAGAAGUUAAAUCAGAUGGUAGCAUUUCAAUAAAUACUUAACAAUAACAGCGGGCCUAUUCUGUAAUUUUUAACGACAGUUUCAUUAUCGUUUAUAACAUCAUUAUGUAGCUUUUUUUGUCAUAUAUUAAGCAUUCACAUCAAUUUUUAUUUCAAAACCAUGUGCUACGAUUAUUGCAACAAAUACAUGAAUACAAGAUAAAUACAAGACACAACUCAUUUCUGCGUAAUGUUUUGUUCUUUCAAAGCAGGCGCAGCUUCUUUGCAUGAUUCGGAAGUUCUCGAUCUUACAAUGUUUUCGAUAAUCAUAAUGGAUAUUAGAUCGGCCAAUAGAAACAAUUAACUUGUUUGAUGGAAUCUAUUACUUAAUUUAUCUCGUUCUUUGACUACGAUAUUUAUUGUCGAUUUUCUACAUGAUGGAUCACGGCCUUGGCCGGAACCGCCCAAUUAAUUUCAUCAAGCUCGCGCGUCGGGCGUCGUAAUUUUUAUGGAGACGUAUCGAUUAAGUCAACCUGGCCAUGAUGAGGGGGACCAAAUAUAAUUCAGACGUUAGCUUUGCGUCACGUGAGUAGAAACAAGUUUUAUCACGAUCGGCGGGGCGUAAGAUCGCGCACAAUCAACCUCAUCCUUUUCGAGCUUCACCAAAAUAACUCGUCAGAUUAAAAAGUUUAUUUAAGAUCGAUUACGUGGUAAUUUACUUAAAAUAUCGCUACGUUGUUUUGCUCACACAUUUGACUGAUUUUAUUGUCUAUUUUGUUUAUCAUAUUAUUUAUGUAAUAAAGAAUUACACAGAUAUACGAGUCGAGUUUGAAUUUAAUUCCAUUGCGGUGUAAUCACUGAAAAAAA